rnacentral:miRNA from 1 species
UACAGGAGGAGAUUAUAUGGCCCAUAUCGAGUUCGUGUAUGGAAUGCAAAUGCAAAGGAUAAGAAUAGUUUCGUGGUCCCGUUACCAAGUCC